UGGCUUCUCUGCGUUCUCGACGUCUGCGCUCAAGGUCAUCUUCUCCCCCGUUGAUGGAGGAACUCGCUUCUGCCGCUCUAUGCACACAGGUCAUGUGACCGAGGAGGGAUUCUGUAGUAGUACAACCAAAAUGAAGAAAGAAGAAAAAAUAAGAAAAGGAAGAAAGAAAGGAAGGUUCUAAAAGCGAUUUGGCAAGAAAGAAGGAGAUAUUUCAAUUGAACGCUUCAGUAUGGUGAAAAUUUUAAUGCAGGGAAAGAAAGCUGUAGAAAUCUCUCCAGUGAAACCUUUAAAUUUCCAAGAUCACUACUAAACUCUUCCUAAAUGCUCAUAAUAUGUGGUACUAAAACCAGUACUACUACUGUAAGUGCUGGAAGAGAUGGUUCUGCUAGAGAAGAAGAAGUUGAGAGAGACUGGUUACAAGUUCAUCUAAACGCUACUACUUAUAUUGUGAAUACAUUCAAGUUAUACUGCUUUUAAAGAAGUUACUACAAAAGCUAUCUUCUCAUAGAAAUCUACAUUACUUUGGCAGACUGUCCGUAAAGCAUUCAAUUAGUCCGGCCACUGAAUGCCGACAAAGCUACUGGACAUAAUGUAGAAGCCGUGAAACGAUUAAAAAGUGAUAAGGAUUCAUCCAGCACUCCUAGCCUUGGUAAACUGAUACUAACCCCACCAAAUGGACAUUAAACUUUUGUAGAUUAUAAUCAAAAAUACUUCAAGAUAAGAAGGGCAGCAAGCAGGUAAAGGUUAAGAAUGAAAGG